AACGAACGCUGGCGGCAGGCCUAACACAUGCAAGUCGAGCGAGGUAGCAAUACCUAGCGGCGGACGGGUGAGUAACGCGUGGGAACGUGCCCUUUGCUACGGAAUAGCCCUGGGAAACUGGGAGUAAUACCGUAUGUGCCCUUCGGGGGAAAGAUUUAUCGGCAAAGGAUCGGCCCGCAUUGGAUUAGGUAGUUGGUGGGGUAAUGGCCUACCAAGCCGACGAUCCAUAGCUGGUUUGAGAGGAUGAUCAGCCACACUGGGACUGAGACACGGCCCAGACUCCUACGGGAGGCAGCAGUGGGGAAUCUUAGACAAUGGGCGCAAGCCUGAUCUAGCCAUGCCGCGUGAGCGAUGAAGGCCUUAGGGUUGUAAAGCUCUUUCGUGGGGGAAGAUAAUGACUGUACCCCAAGAAGAAGCCCCGGCUAACUCCGUGCCAGCAGCCGCAGUAA
rnacentral:rRNA from 1 species